AUUGAACGCUGGCGGCAUGCCUUACACAUGCAAGUCGAACGGCAGCACGGAGCUUGCUCUGGUGGCGAGUGGCGAACGGGUGAGUAAUAUAUCGGAACGUACCCUAGAGUGGGGGAUAACGUAGCGAAAGUUACGCUAAUACCGCAUACGAUCUAAGGAUGAAAGUGGGGGAUCGCAAGACCUCAUGCUCGUGGAGCGGCCGAUAUCUGAUUAGCUAGUUGGUAGGGUAAAAGCCUACCAAGGCAUCGAUCAGUAGCUGGUCUGAGAGGACGACCAGCCACACUGGAACUGAGACACGGUCCAGACUCCUACGGGAGGCAGCAGUGGGGAAUUUUGGACAAUGGGCGAAAGCCUGAUCCAGCAACGCCGCGUGAGUGAAGAAGGCCUUCGGGUUGUAAAGCUCUUUUGUCAGGGAAGAAACGGUGGGAGCUAAUAUCUCUUGCUAAUGACGGUACCUGAAGAAUAAGCACCGGCUAACUACGUGCCAGCAGCCGCGGUAAUACGUAGGGUGCAAGCGUUAAUCGGAAUUACUGGGCGUAAAGCGUGCGCAGGCGGUUUUGUAAGUCUGAUGUGAAAUCCCCGGGCUCAACCUGGGAAUUGCAUUGGAGACUGCAAGGCUAGAAUCUGGCAGAGGGGGGUAGAAUUCCACGUGUAGCAGUGAAAUGCGUAGAUAUGUGGAGGAACACCGAUGGCGAAGGCAGCCCCCUGGGUCAAGAUUGACGCUCAUGCACGGAAGCGUGGGGAGCAAACAGGAUUAGAUACCCUGGUAGUCCACGCCCUAAACGAUGUCUACUAGUUGUCGGGUCUUAAUUGACUUGGUAACGCAGCUAACGCGUGAAGUAGACCGCCUGGGGAGUACGGUCGCAAGAUUAAAACUCAAAGGAAUUGACGGGGACCCGCACAAGCGGUGGAUGAUGUGGAUUAAUUCGAUGCAACGCGAAAAACCUUACCUACCCUUGACAUGGCUGGAAUCCUUGAGAGAUCAGGGAGUGCUCGAAAGAGAACCAGUACACAGGUGCUGCAUGGCUGUCGUCAGCUCGUGUCGUGAGAUGUUGGGUUAAGUCCCGCAACGAGCGCAACCCUUGUCAUUAGUUGCUACGAAAGGGCACUCUAAUGAGACUGCCGGUGACAAACCGGAGGAAGGUGGGGAUGACGUCAAGUCCUCAUGGCCCUUAUGGGUAGGGCUUCACACGUCAUACAAUGGUACAUACAGAGCGCCGCCAACCCGCGAGGGGGAGCUAAUCGCAGAAAGUGUAUCGUAGUCCGGAUUGUAGUCUGCAACUCGACUGCAUGAAGUUGGAAUCGCUAGUAAUCGCGGAUCAGCAUGUCGCGGUGAAUACGUUCCCGGGUCU
rnacentral:rRNA from 1 species